rnacentral:rRNA from 1 species
GAUGAACGCUGGCGGCGUGCCUAAUACAUGCAAGUAGAACGCUGAAGCUUGGUGCUUGCACCGAGCGGAUGAGUUGCGAACGGGUGAGUAACGCGUAGGUAACCUGCCUCUUAGCGGGGGAUAACUAUUGGAAACGAUAGCUAAUACCGCAUAAAAGUCGACAUUGCAUGAUGUUGACUUGAAAGGUGCAAUUGCAUCACUAAGAGAUGGACCUGCGUUGUAUUAGCUAGUUGGUGAGGUAACGGCUCACCAAGGCAACGAUACAUAGCCGACCUGAGAGGGUGAUCGGCCACACUGGGACUGAGACACGGCCCAGACUCCUACGGGAGGCAGCAGUAGGGAAUCUUCGGCAAUGGGGGCAACCCUGACCGAGCAACGCCGCGUGAGUGAAGAAGGUUUUCGGAUCGUAAAGCUCUGUUGUAAGAGAAGAACGAGUGUGAGAGUGGAAAGUUCACACUGUGACGGUAACUUACCAGAAAGGGACGGCUAACUACGUGCCAGCAGCCGCGGUAAUACGUAGGUCCCGAGCGUUAUCCGGAUUUAUUGGGCGUAAAGCGGGCGCAGGCGGUUAGAUAAGUCUGAAGUUAAAGGCUGUGGCUUAACCAUAGUACGCUUUGGAAACUGUUUAACUUGAGUGCAGAAGGGGAGAGUGGAAUUCCAUGUGUAGCGGUGAAAUGCGUAGAUAUAUGGAGGAACACCGGUGGCGAAA